GACGAACCGUGCGAACGUUGUUCGGAAUCACUGGGCUUAAAGGGCGCGUAGGCGGGCUGGCAAAUCAGGGGUGAAAGCCCACGGCUCAACCGUGGAAGUGCCUUUGAUACUGCCGGCCUGGAGGGAGGUAGGGGCGUGCGGAACUUCCGGUGGAGCGGUGAAAUGCGUAGAUAUCGGAAGGAACACCGGUGGCGAAAGCGGCGCGCUGGACCUCUUCUGACGCUGAGGCGCGAAAGCCAGGGGAGCAAACGGG
rnacentral:rRNA from 1 species